rnacentral:rRNA from 1 species
UACGGAGGGUGCAAGCGUUAUCCGGAUUCACUGGGUUUAAAGGGUGCGUAGGUGGGUUGGUAAGUCAGUGGUGAAAUCUCCGGGCUUAACUCGGAAACUGCCGUUGAUACUAUCAAUCUUGAAUAUUGUGGAGGUAAGCGGAAUAUGUCAUGUAGCGGUGAAAUGCUUAGAUAUGACAUAGAACACCAAUUGCGAAGGCAGCUUACUACACAGUAAUUGACACUGAGGCACGAAAGCGUGGGGAGCGAACAGG